rnacentral:lncRNA from 1 species
GGGGGUGUUCGCUUAGCAACUCCUGGGAAGAGUUCUCCCGGGUGAUCGCUUUAAAAAGAAGAGAGAGAGAGAGAGAUGCAAGAGAGAAAUACUUCCUUUGCAGCUUCAGGAGGUGGUUGUCUGCAGUCACGCAUGCGCCUGCCAGAGCCAUCUAGAACCAAUUGGGGGAGGGGGAGAGUAGCUAAGAAGAUGAGCCAAAAUAUUGAGAUGGCAGCAUGAGCCCCGAUGACAUCAUUGAGCCACUGAAUUACCCGCUCUGGAGCCACCCUGCCUGGCGAGUCUUUUAAAGGAAAAAUAUGUAUUUCUGAUACGUACUUGGAAAUUCAAAAGCAUAAUUCCUAGAAGGUUGAAGAGCAAUGGAACAGUUGCCCACAUUCAGAAGCUGGCUCUCCUGUUGACUUCCUGUGCCCAUUCACGUCUUCAUCUGUACAACGGGGACUUUCACACUCACCUGAGACAGGGAUUUCCCCUUCGUCCUGGGAACCUCGCGAGACCACCUGCCCCAGCUGCCCUGCAGGCCCUCUCCCCUCCCUGGCCGCCUGCGGAGCCAUGUGUGAAGACUGAAGGACCCUCGGCAGCCCAAGUCCCCAUGCACAGAUCUCCUGACACUGGGCUCCACUUGCUGGGC